GACUCGUUAGCUCAGUUGGUAGAGCAACUGACUUUUAAUCAGUGGGUCGCAGGUUCGAAUCCUGCACGGGUCA
rnacentral:tRNA from 3 species